rnacentral:tRNA from 1 species
GCCUUUGUGGUGUAGUGGUCAACACACUCGACGCGUAACCGAGAGGUCCGUGAUUCGAUUCCCGGUGGAGGCU